AAGUCACAUUAUAAUGAUCUUGCAAAGCUGAAGACUCUGCCAUCUGUCUAUCCAAUCUCUUCAACUGAGCGCCAUUAAAAAGGAAUGGGACUGGACUUAAUGUGAAACAUGUGAGAUACAAAGAUAAAAACAGGAUGCAAUGCGAUUCAGUCAUCUAUUUCUAAAAUACAAAGCCGUUUAGGAACCCUGUUCUAAAACAAGGCAGCGAUAUAUCAAAACAAAAGUUAUUAGCCUAUUAAAUGGAGAAAAGUAGCCACUCUGCUGUUUGGUAUCAUUGUGUGCACCGCUCUGAACAUGGACCAGAGAAAACAGGAGAGAGUUGUCUGAGAUAAAGUUUGGAAAGAAAAUUAUAGACCAUCACGUUAAAGGUAAAAGCAUUUCCAAGCAGCUUGAUGUUUCUGUGACUACUGUUAUUACAAAGAAGAAGGUUAGAGUCCAUGGGACUGUAGCCAACCUCCCUGAACGUGGCUGCAAGAAGAAAUUCGACACCAGAUUAAACAGAAGGAUAAUGAGAAUAGUAGAAAAAGAGCCAAGGACAACUUCCAAAGAGAUAUAAGCUGAACUCCAAGGUCAGGAUGCAGCAGUGGAUCAGAGAAGCCGCCUAGACGCGUCCAUUUCCACAAGACACCUCCUGCGGCAUUUGCAUAUUGUAGCACAGCCAAUGUGCACAAAGACACAGCAGCGUCAACUAUGGCGUCCACCCCUGAAUCAGCCUCUUUGUUGUAGAAAACAAUGGACAUUGAAGGGAUGCCAACUAAAGGUGUUAUGGACAUUUAUGUAGGAGUUCUUGGAAGAAGAAUUCGGAGCAGCAAGACACUACUUGAUAGGAAACAGGUGUCCCCACAUAUGGCAUUCUGAGCCCUCACUGGCGAGCCACAGCUUCUUUCUACUUUGUUGUCAAUAUGUUUGUCAUAACAUCUAAAACGUGUUUAAAAUG